ACGAACGCUGGCGGCACGCUUAACACAUGCAAGUCGAACGAGAGAAGAGAAGCUUGCUUUUCUGAUCUAGUGGCGGACGGGUGAGUAACACGUGAGCAAUCUGCCUUUCAGAGGGGGAUACCGAUUGGAAACGAUCGUUAAUACCGCAUAAUAUAAUUGAACCGCAUGAUUUGAUUAUCAAAGAUUUAUCGCUGAAAGAUGAGCUCGCGUCUGAUUAGCUAGUUGGUAAGGUAACGGCUUACCAAGGCGACGAUCAGUAGCCGGACUGAGAGGUUGAUCGGCCACAUUGGGACUGAGACACGGCCCAGACUCCUACGGGAGGCAGCAGUGGGGAAUAUUGCACAAUGGAGGAAACUCUGAUGCAGCGAUGCCGCGUGAGGGAAGAAGGUUUUAGGAUUGUAAACCUCUGUCUUCAGGGACGAAAAAUGACGGUACCUGAGGAGGAAGCUCCGGCUAACUACGUGCCAGCAGCCGCGGUAAUACGUAGGGAGCGAGCGUUGUCCGGAAUUACUGGGUGUAAAGGGAGCGUAGGCGGGAUCGCAAGUCAGAUGUGAAAACUAUGGGCUUAACCCAUAAACUGCAUUUGAAACUGUGGUUCUUGAGUGAAGUAGAGGUAAGCGGAAUUCCUAGUGUAGCGGUGAAAUGCGUAGAUAUUAGGUGGAACAUCAGUGGCGAAGGCGGCUUACUGGGCUUUAACUGACGCUGAGGCUCGAAAGCGUGGGGAGCAAACAGGAUUAGAUACCCUGGUAGUCCACGCCGUAAACGAUGAUUACUAGGUGUGGGGGGACUGACCCCUUCCGUGCCGCAGCAAACGCAAUAAGUAAUCCACCUGGGGAGUACGACCGCAAGGUUGAAACUCAAAGGAAUUGACGGGGGCCCGCACAAGCAGUGGAGUAUGUGGAUUAAUUCGAAGCAACGCGAAGAACCUUACCAGGUCUUGACAUCGUAUGCAUAGCUCAGAGAUGAGUGAAAUCUCUUCGGAGACAUAUAGACAGGUGGUGCAUGGUUGUCGUCAGCUCGUGUCGUGAGAUGUUGGGUUAAGUCCCGCAACGAGCGCAACCCUUACUGUUAGUUGCUACGCAAGAGCACUCUAGCAGGACUGCCGUUGACAAAACGGAGGAAGGUGGGGAUGACGUCAAAUCAUCAUGCCCCUUAUGACCUGGGCCUCACACGUACUACAAUGGCUGUCAACAGAGGGAAGCAAAGCCGCGAGGUGGAGCAAACCCCUAAAAGCAGUCUUAGUUCGGAUUGUAGGCUGCAACCCGCCUACAUGAAGUCGGAAUUGCUAGUAAUCGCAGAUCAGCAUGCUGCGGUGAAUACGUUCCCGGGCCUUGUACACACCGCCCGUCACGCCAUGGGAGUCGGUAACACCCGAAGCCUGUAGUCUAACCGCAAGGAGGACGCAGUCGAAGGUGGGAUUGAUGACUGGGGUG
rnacentral:rRNA from 1 species